rnacentral:rRNA from 1 species
UACGUAGGGUGCAAGCGUUGUCCGGAAUUAUUGGGCGUAAAGGGCGCGUAGGCGGCCAUGCGUGUCUUUCGUGAAAUCCCUCGGCUUAACUGAGGACGUGCGGAAGAAACUGCAAGGCUUGAGUCCGGGAGAGGGGGGGGUGGAAUUCCCGGUGUAGCGGUGAAAUGCGUAGAUAUUGGGAGAACGACGGUGCGAAGGCGGCCCCCUGGACCGGUCACUGACGCUGAGGCGCGAAA